UAUGCAUAGACUGGCCAAGAAAAAGAUUAAGAUUAAUAAGUUUGUUUUAUAAAGAAGAUACACAUAAUACACAGAGAAAUCACCAGAAGAGAAAUACACCAAUCACAAAAAUAAAAUUUUCAAAAGGAUAACAUAAACAUUAGCUCAGCCACGCUUCACAGGAUCAAAAUUGGAAACACCAAUCACAGCUCCCAAAAUGGCAACAAGCACGGCACCACCAGCCCCAAUGCUGAGCAAGAAGUUAUUCAGCGACGGAGUAACACUAGACGCCGCCUCUGCUACAUCAGGAACCACCAUCGACGCCGUUAGAGCUGCGGCGGUCAAAGCCGUCACUGCCUUCUCCUUCAAAGAGCUCUGAACCACCAAUCGUUUGGAUGGUGCAGCCACUAUCUUAGACGAAGAAACCUUGAGUGUCAAUGGGUUAAAGAAGGAGUUCGAUGGUGGGAGCGCAGUCUUGUGGGUCAAUGGCAUAGCCAUGGAAACUGCAGAUGUGGAGGCCAUUGAUGCUUCUUCUUUUUUUGCUUCUGUGUGUCGAUCGAUGAAAAAAGAAUGAUGGGUGAGUUAAAGGAAGGUUGAGAGGUGAGAAAUGGAGAUGAAGGGUAUUUGUGAUCUCCAUAUCUUGGAGUCCGAUGUGGCUGCUUUUCCACUUGGUUUUGGUGGAUAACCUUAUCCUUCCAUCCAUCCAUGCAACCUCAUUAUUUUUAAAUCAAAAUUCAAUUAAUUUGUAAAAUCAAUGUCUAUGUGCAUUGUGAUUUUGUAUAGGUUUUCAUUUUAGUAACAAUAAAGGUGUAAUUUUGGUUUUUACUUAAAACUAGGUUUUUGCAUAUCGCGAUGCAUUGACGACAAUUUGUUUGGUAAGGUGAAUUUUGAGAAUUUUAUUGAUAAAAGUUAAGUAUAUUUAUAUGUGAUCGAACUCAUACGUAGGAAACAUAUAUAAAAAUAAACAUAAAAAUGUAAACAAAAUUUUCAUCGAAAUACAAAGAAGCUCGAAUUUAUACCAAUACCUACAUAAAAUUAAGUAAUCAAUAUUAUUAUUUUUUAAGUUAACGAACAAAAAUUCAAAUAAUCACAAUUGUAUUAUAUGUGACCCGAAUCAUANNNNNNNNNNNNNNAUAUAUCGAAUUGUAGACCAACUCAAAUUUAUACCGACACACAUGGUUGUUAUGUAACAUUCUGUUUCGGAUCGUUCUGUGAUUUAAGGCUCGUGAGCCGUAAUUUGGGUAUGAGAAGGUUUUUAGGCUUUAAGAAGAAAGGUUUAGACCUUUUUGGAUGUGGGUAAGGUAGGUUGUGUGAUUAAAGAGUUCGGUUUGUGCUCUAGAGCCCAAUGGUAUCGGUAAAGGCGUUAGUUCGGGCCUUUCAUGAAUUUUGGAUCUGAGCUCGAGUGGGUUUUAGGAAAAAUAAAGUUGAUAGAAGUGUAGGGAUUCUCUUUACCUUUUCGUGGAUAUAAGGAUCAUCGGAAACGGACUUAUAACGAAGAAGUUAUGACAUUCGGAAGUUUGGUGGUUUCAGGGUUCAGCCGAGUACGCAGGGCGUACACAAAGGGUACGUGGGGUAUACUAGUGAAGUGAGCGGUAUGCGCGUACCUUGGCAUACGCUGGGCGUACUAACCAGGAUGGUCACGGGUGCUCUUAGGAGUACGUUGGGCGUACCAUAUGUACGUUAUGCGUACUCCAAUUAGAUUCAAACCCUAUUUUAGGGUCGUGGACCCUAUUUAAGCUCCUUAUCUCAUAAUCUAACCCUAAUAUAUUCAGCCUCCGUCCCUGUAAACCCUAGAAAUCGACCCUUAGCCUCCAUUUGAGUGAUUCUUGAGCUUUUUAGUGAUUUAGUGGGUUUUUUGUGUUUAUUGUGGAAGAAGGAGCUUCUUGAGGAAGCAUUGAUUGGCUUAUAUCUUGUAGAUCCAAGCCCUAUUCAUAUUGAUCUAGCUCCAGACAGUAUAAAGUUUGAAUCUUGGUAGCUUUCUCAUGUGGAUCUAGUUGGGUUAUGACUUGUUAUGUUUGGCCCUUGAAGAAGACGGAUCUUGGUGAUCAAACUAUUGUUGGAGUAAAGCUUCUAGAUCCAGAUCUUUCAUCAACUUUGCAAGCUACUAGAGGUAUAAAGUCUCUAUCUUGGUGAAUCAUGUGUUUGAUCUAGCUAGUUUUGGGUUUUAUGUACUUUUUGUCCCAAAGCUUUGGUCUUUAUGAGUAUGGGCUACUCUAGACCAUUUGAGUUGUCCUUUCUGAGGUUUUUGAGUGUUCUAAGUCAUAAAAAUGUGAUAUUAGUCCAUUCCUUCAGUUUGGGUUUUUGAGUUAAAAGUUAGGGUUUGGGUUUGAGCACAUUUAGCCAUGACAAGGCAUAAAUUUGGGAACUUUAUGUUGUAAAAUGCCUUCUUGGACGAGAUCUAAGUGUUGGGUGAAAAUACUUAACGAGUUAAGUACUUAAUGUGAGUUAUUGGCCUAUUUAUGGAGUUAGAGUGCUUGAAAUCAUGUUUGGGCCCCUUUGAGUCAUGCUAAGGCUUAAAGCCUUCGACUUUAUGGAUUAAUUCAUUAUUAUGGGAUUAUUCUGACGGAAUAAGUCAUUAGAACAAGAAUUGGAAUUUCAUCGGGAAUGCCACACGUAAUUACUGGGAAGGCAGUGUGUUCCAUCCUGAGUCCCCGUCAAGUGAUCCAGCGGCGAACGUCGUGCGUUCUGCCCAUGAACGCCAUGCGUUCGUCUGAUCAUUGGAGUUGUGGGCUUGGACUUGUUUUGAGGUUGGGAUUUGCCGUUUUGGGCCUUGUUGGGUUGCCCUAUUGGGUCUAAGGAGUUAUUAAGUUGGGCCUUAUUAGGUCUAGUAUGGGUUUGGUCCUUAGAGGGCAUGUUCAUAUUGGGCCUUGUGCUUUGGGUAUAACCCUGAAUGUUAUCUGAGAAUGAUCUUUUUUGGCUCGGUGUGUGGAGUCGUUGUGCAGCGGACACGAUGGUAGGAUUUGUUAUCCAUCGACCAAGGUGAUUAUUCUCACUAUACUUACAUGUGUGGUAAUUUAUAUGUGACCGGAGGGUCUUGUUUGUGUUAUUGACCAUAGGGACUCAUUCGUAUUAUUGACCGGAUGGUCUUAUUGGUUUAUAUUGAAAUUCAAUCUUGACAACCUGUGCAUUAAAAAAAAACAAUUUUUUUUAAUUAACGAACGAAAGUUGUAAAUUAGCAUCAAAACAUUAACCAUUUUGAAUUUAUAUCGACACAUACAUUAAAACAUUAGUUUUUUUUUUAAGUUUACGAAUGUAACUUACUAAGGAAAACCAAAUUAAAUAUAUAUUACGGGGGGAUAAAUACGAAAGUUUAGAAAAUAGAUGGGAUGAAAGUGACAUUUUAUAAAAUUCAAAGUGGAUGUGGUGAAAGUGACUUUUUAAAAAGAAAAGGGAUGGAAAUAUCAUUUUAGAAAGUAUUUUAAAAAGUAUAUGGUGAAAAAUGUCCCUUUAGGGAUAUAAAAAUGUUAUUUUACAAAGUAUUUUAACAAGCGGGAAAGAUAAUUCGUUUUGUAAUUUAAAUUUUAAUGAUUGUAUUUAUAAAUAGGUAUGCAUCGUUACAUUUGACAGUUGUUAGAAAGCUGAAAAUAGCAAAAGAAAAAAAUAUAGGUUAUAUGGAAAAAAAAACAAACAAAGUUAAAGAACUGCAAAUAACAAAAGAAACCAUAGAGGUAAAUAUUGAAAUAUAAAAGUUUGGGAUUGAAAAAAUAUUCUAAAUAACGCAUGAUUUGCCGAUAAUGUCAAGUCUCUAUCUUUUUUGAGUCGUGGCCAGCCACGUUCUUUAUAAGGCGUGACUAAAAUCGACAAUUUUNAUAUAUAUAUAUAUAUAUAUAUAUAUAUAUAUAUAUAUAUAUAUAUAUAUAUAUAUAUAUACAUUAUUCAUUUUUAUACACAUAUAUGACUUAAGACAAUAUUUUGUGAAAUUUUGGUGACAAGUACAAGUUUUGGAAUCAUGGUAUAUUAUGACUAACUUUUUAGAACUUUGGUUUGUAAUAACAAGGCAAAUUAGUUUUUAUUUUUUAUUAUCUUUAACCAUUCAAUAUCAUUAUUUUGUUACUAUUUUUUUAUCAUUGAAAAUUCUUCUAACAAAAUAUUUAUCAAUAUUACAUGAUACAUAUAAUCUUAUAUUCUUCAUAACAUUUUUUUUCUAAUAAUCAACGUUAUUAAAUAUACAAAAUGAAAAUCAAAUGCCAAAUAUUAAAAAUACAUAGAUGUUAUUAUAUUGUUUUUAACAUUUUUUAUUUUUAUAACUAUAUUAUUGAUAAAAAUAUCACAGAUAUCAAAUAUGGCACAUAUGAUAUAUGCUUAGAGAAUGAGCUUCUUUACCCUCUUUUUUUUUUUAUAUUUAUAAGUAGUCUAUACCUAUUAAAUUUAAUAUAUAUUUGGUUUAAAAAUAUAAAAUUUGGGUCCCUCGUUUUUUAAUUUUUAUACAUAUUAUACUUUCACACCCAGAAUCAAAAGUUCAAGCUCCGCGCACGGCAGGAAAAUUACAAUUUGUGAUAAUUAGUUUAUAAAAUAUUUCAAAUAGAUAAGGAUAAACGUUUGAAUAUAUAUAUAUAUAUAUAUUUGUAAUUUUUUUUUUUGAUAAAUGCUUUAAAGAAGAUUAACAUAGUUUUCUAUUGCUGCCAUAGAAAAGGUAAUCUCUAAAAAGAAGAUUAUUGUAUAUUAUCUUUAACCAAUCAAAAUAACUAAAAAGAAAUAUAGAAAACGUUUGUAGCAAUUAAUCCAGAUCUAAAUUUGGUUUCACAUAUGCUAAAACAUUGUAUAUGUUUUGUCGAGCUUUUAAAUUUGAUAUGUUUUCCAACACCCACCUUUUUCAAUUUUCCAAUUCUGGUUUUGAUUAUGCUAGAACAAAUUUAAAUCCAUUAUUAUAUAUACUUGUUAUAACUUAAUUAUUUUUUAACAUCAAACAAAUUCGUCUAAACAUAAGCCUAUUUGGUAUGGACAACAUGAUAAGACAUGUUAUUAUACCCAAAAUUUGUCAACUCACAUGCCAUGUCAUCUUUAACACCAUUUGAUUUAUAUAGGAAAUGGUAUGCAAAUGUUAUAGUAAUAUAUUAAGAGAGAGAGAGAGAGAGAGAGAGAGAGAGAGAAUGGUUUUUGAUUGGUUAAUUCUCACGUUAUUUCUCGUGGACAUGAUAACAUUUCUUAACAUAACACCAAAUAACAUGAGAGGGGCGGUGUACAAGGCACUAUAACGCCAUUUUUUAUUGUUACAUCCGAAAAAUGCAAAAGCCCGUUGCCCGCUCAUAGUAGUCUAAAUUUUAGAAAAAAGCUACACGGAAGUAAAGAUGACAAAAAAAUAUGUACCCGAUAGGAACCCGAACCCAAGUUGGCCGGGUAAAUCCCUAANNNNNNNNNNNNNNNNNNNNNNNNNNNNNNNNNNNNNNNNNNNNNNNNNNNNNNNNNNNNNNNNNNNNNNNNNNNNNNNNNNNNNNNNNNNNNNNNNNNNNNNNNNNNNNNNNNNNNNNNNNNCAAUUUUAAAUAAAUAAUGAUGGAUACUUAAACAUUUAGAUUAUAAAACUGGCAAUUUUUUAAAAUAAAACGUGAAUGGAUCGAUUUCGAUUGUGACAAGUUAACUUGUAAAAUAAAAAAAUUAUCUAAAAGGAAAUAAGUCAAAAAUGUUGAUUGUUAAAGAUAUUGUAUUUUAUAUUCACUACAACUAAUAUAUGAUUAGUAUGUGAAAUAUCUAAAUGUGUAAGAAGAAUAAAGUUAUUUCACUUUUCACGUUUAUUAUUUACGUAGAAAUAGAAAUAAUUGAGCUUUGUAAUUUGAAAGUAAAUAAAACUUUCUACUUUUUAAUGUCUAGAAACAAUAGAGAAAAAAUCAUGCUUAAAGAAAUAUAAUAAAAGUAGUAAUAUAUGGAGAUCGGGCGAAAAAAAUUCAUACUUCAAAGCAACGAUCUAUUUAUCUAUUACAAUAAAGAUCAUAUAUUUCAACUUAUUCAUUUUAAAGUCUAAAACUUUUCAAUCAUAUAUUGUGUGCAUGAAUGCACCAAUAUAAAUUUAGGAAAAAAUAAAUCAUUAAUAAUAAAUCUAAGGGUAUAAUAGUAAUCUAUACUAUAAUUAAUUAUGGUAAAUUGAUAAAAUUAAAUAAUAUCCCCUUUUAAAUUAGGAUAUCAGUUUUAAAACCUCACCCCCACCAGAUUAGGGUUUUACGCUCCCUCUUCAUCUCAUACAGUACCCACACACAGAUAGAGACCCAAUAGAUCUACUCUUCUUCUUCAAUAGAGACCCGGUAGAAGUACUCCACACGCAUAACAGGUGAUGAUCCACUUUCCGUCUUAGGCCUCCACACACAAAAAGUUCCAGAAGGUAGAGCUUCCAAUUCGUCGGCUUCUGAUGAUGAACAUGAAGAAGAUUCUUCUAGUUCAUCAAUGAACAGCUUCCAUAAUGAACUGGUGAUAGAAUCAGAAGCAUGAAUCUCAUUAUCCUUUGAUUUGACUUCAUCCUUGAUGAGAAGAUCGCGAUUGAAAAGAGGAAAAACAGUCCAACCUCGCGAAUCGAUCCCUUUUGUUGAAACCCCUUCUUCAAUUAAAUCCAACGAGAAUCUAAAAUCGUCUUCAUCAAAAUCCCCAAAUUCGUGAAAUCGACCGGCCUGUUCUUUACAUAUGACUUUGGCGAUAGCCAUGGAUGUGUUCUUCGAUCUAUGAGAGAUUCUGGAAUCGGCUUCCAGGUAUGCACUCUAUUAUCUUUUUUAUUGUAAAUUUAGUCACAUUCAUGUAUUUAUUAAUUACAUAUGUUGUAUGUUUAAUCAAAUGGAGUAUAAAGAUUUGUGCAUCUGAUUUUUCCCGCCAAAUGUUUGUUAAAAUGCUUGAAUCAAAUAUUUUAGCCAAUUUUUUUUUAAUAUUUGAACUAUCACAUGUCUCUCAUACUAGCUUGUAAUGAUAUGAAAUUUGUUUCUACAUAUUCUCCUUUGUGUUAGAUACAAGUUAGGUUCAGAAGUCAUUUAAAUUUGAUUAAUAUUGGUUGAGUUAUAGUCCUUCGAACAUACGAUGUUACAGCUGUAUUUUUAGCACUCUUUGUUCAGAAACAUUUGUGAUCUUUGAACUGUCAUAUUUACCACAUUCUAGCUUGUAAUAAGCUAACAUUUUUCCAAAGUAUUGUCCUCUGUGUUAGCUACAACAUAGUCAUUGUAAUUAGAUUAAGUCGAUAAUUUGGACCAGGUGACUCGGGGAAUACUUGAUCAAGUGACUCGAGUACAUUCUGUUAGAAUAAAUUAAAAGUGUUUAAUGUCUAACACAUUAUGUUAGAAUUAUAGUUUUAUUCUGUUAGAAUAUACUAAAAGUUAUACUAUUUCAAAAUUGAUUAUGUUUUUUUUUUGGAUUUAAGUUUUGAAGGGGCUGCCAUUGAAGUGGAAAAUGAAGAAAACAUGGAGAACGUGAGUAUUCUAGCAUAAUGUUGUUAUUUUUUAAAAAUGUUAUUCAUUUUUGUUGAUGUUCUUUUAAAAUAUUUUAUAACUAUAUUAAAAUGUAUAAGACUUUUAGUUUGUAAGAAUAUGUAUGAAUUUGUAUUUAAGUUCGGAUGUAUAAGAAUAUAUUAAAAUGUUUGUUAUUUUUGAACAUCUCAUUUAAGAAUUUUGUUUUUAUUCAAUAAUAUUCUAUUAUAAUAAAAUCCUGAAAGAGUAUCAUUCUAACAAAAAAUAUUCUGAUAGAAUAAAAUCGGUAAAAAUUGAAAUUGAAUUAAUUAAAAAAUUCAGAUUUUUUUAAAUUAGGAGAAUUAAUCAUCCCUAAAAAUCCAAAAAUUACCUUUUAUAAAUGUAGUUAAUUGUCCAAAAUACCAUUUUGCUAAAAAUUGUGUGAUUAUAUGGUACAUGUUACCCAUUAUAAUAUCAUACACUCUCAAAUCAUAUCCAUUGAUUAAUUUCAUUCGUUGGUCCAAAUCUGUCCCGAAAAAAAUUUCUCUAAAAAUGAUAAAAAUUUAAGUAAUACUUUUACCCACUGUUCUAAUGACUUUGUAAAAAAAAUUAAAAAUAAGGUGUUUUAGAUACCAAAUUUGAUUUUAAAAGAUUAAAAGUGUAAAAGAAAAAUGUUGAACAUAAUUGAUCCAAAUAUAGGUGAUUCAAAAAUAUUAUGAUCUCUAACUUAUUAUGAUCUAAAAAUAUUUUGAUUCAAAUAUUUUAUGAUCAUAAAUUAUUAUAUCUUUUAUGAUUCAAAAUUAAAUGAUUCAAAAAAUAUAAUGAUGCAAAUAUUGCAUUGAACAAAAACUAUAUAUAAUUCAAUAUAUUAUGAUCCAAAAUCAUAUAAUUCACAAAUAUUAUGAUCCAAAUUACUAUGAUUCAAAAUGAUAUGUGUCACACNUAUAUAUAUAUAUAUAUAUAUAAAGAACAUUGCACAAAUUUAUAUCACAAACGAUACUUUUAUUUAUUAUAAUUUAUUUUAGAUUACAUUAUUUAAAAAGGUCAAACGUACAUCUUAAAACAUAACUAGAAAUGACAAACAGACGAAACUAAACUCCAACAAGCUUCCUCAAAAACCUCCUCCUCGACACGAUUAUCUUCCACAUUCAUCUCCUUAAGAAUACAUGUAUUUUUUAAAAAUUCAACAUAAUGUUGAUGAUUGCACAGGUUUUUAUAGUUCUCAACUUUUAUUUAGUUGUAUUAAUUUAAAAAUCCUUCUUUUUAGAAAAAGCUUUGUUAAAAAUAUUUUAUCAACCCUAACUUACUAUCAUUUCAGGAUAUCUAAAAAUCUUAUCUUAUUAUCUUUUAAGAUAUUAUAUUAAUCCUAAUUUACUAUCUUUGUAAGUUAACUAAUUCUAACGUAUUUUAUCUAUCACUCUAAGGCGUUCCUAAUAGUAGUUGGAUCUCUAAGGUGGUUGUAAUGUAACGUUCGCAAAUUCGGGCUAGUCAAUUUAGAGACAAUAAACAUCAAAAUGACAUUUUAUGGAAGAUUAUUUAGAAUGAAUAAUAUUAACCAACAUUGGAAUCUGAGUUACAACGAAGAAGUUAUGGGUCGUCGAAGUUUUACGGCUAAACCGGCACGGAACCGCGUAACGUAAAAAGUGAAUUUUUGAUAAAUUACUUUUUAGCCUUAUGGUUCUAAACAAAAGUAGUAGUAUACGUUAAACUGAGAGCGUGCAUAAAAAGAAUGUCCAAAUCUGACUUCGUAUGAGGAAGUUAUGAUUUUUCUAAGAUUUGGCAAAACAGUAUGCAGCUCAGAAUUCGAAUAUUAGAUCGACCGAUUUUUAGCCGACACAACCUAAAUGAGAACCAAAGAUCUUGUUAAUAGGAGCUCAACAAUAAAAAGACGGACGAAAACGGAUGUUGAAUGACAAAAUUAUGAAUUUUUAACGAACUUUACCUGUCCCGGCCUGUUAAAAAUAUAACUUUAAAAAUAAAUUCAAAAAUAGCCAAAGGAGUCUAAACGAAAGUUCUAAAGUACGUCUCCACCUACAUGUUGAUAUAAAGAACGUCAAAACGGAGCUCGUAUGCGAAACUUAUAGAAUUUAGAAAUUUAACAUGGUGGUUGCGAGGGUACAGUGUACGCCCCGCGUACAUAACCUGUACGCCCCGCAGUCUCGCAACUCAUGGAUCUGGAUCAAAAUGUCGCCCCACCUGAAGCUCGCCACUCGUCCCUUCUUACGCAUAGCGUCACUUCAUACGCAAGGCGUAGUGAGUACGCCCAGCGUAAUGCGCAACUAAGGCCUAUAAAAGGGAUACGAGGGUCUCCAUUGUUUUCCACACCAAAGCCAUUUCUUUCUCUCUCUAACUUCUCUCUAAGCCCUCCCAACCCCUAGUAACUUCUAAGUGCUAAAGGAAAGCCUCCGGGGUGCCAGAAGGCUCCGAGAAAAAGAGUUUUUCGGCUCGAAAGGUUCUGCCCCCGCAUAGUCUGGUUUCUAGCAAACCUUCCGGUAAGUGAUUUAUGCUUACCAUACUUUAAGUAUAGCUUAGGUUUAAAUUUAUUAUCGUUAUUAUGAACUUAUAAAAAAUACACACACACACACACACUCACACACACACACACACACAUAUAUAUAUAUAUAUAUAUANAAGUGUUAUGAUAAUAUCUUUUAACUACUCGCGGUACGGGGAAUCUGGUUUGAAGGGCCGCAUAGGGUUGUUGGAUUUCAGAAGUACUAUAAUGCCAAAAUGGUCCUGCCCUCCGGUGUUUCAUGACUGGCCCCUGUUUGUACAUAGUGGUUGAAAAGUAUUGUUUAACACUUAUAAAACAAUGUCGCUCGUAAAUAGUCUCUAUACAUCUUAGACUAAAAUAUAGUGGUAAUAAUACUAGGUUUCGUUGAAGGAAACGAUUGUUAGAAGCGAAGUGUUUUCCGAAUUUCGAGUCAUCACUUUAACAAGUGAGUGCAUAGUUAUUUUCAUCUUACACAUAGAUAUGAAGUAUUUAAUAUAAAUUACGUGUUAUGUGUGCAUAUUAUAUGUGUUCUUGAUAUCUAUGUUGGAUGAACGAUUUAUAUAUGUUUUAAAUGAUUUAAAUUGUAUAUGUAUUUUAUAUCUACGAAUAUGUUGGGUAAAACAUGGGUAGAUGAAUAACAAGGGAUGAAAGCUAAUAUAGAUGAACAUUGGCAGCUAUGGACUUAGUGCCCUAUGGAUGAACAUUGGCAGCUAGGGACUUAGUGCCCUAUAGGUGAACAUUGGCAGGUGCGCCACAACCUGUAGAUGUUUUUAAACUAUGAUGUACUCUAAACAUCGUAGCAGCUGCACCUAUAGGAUAGUAUUGGCAGUUACGACUAAUAGAGAACAUCAUAAUCCUGACAGUUGUGCUUACAUGAUAAUAUUGGAAAUUGUGCCUAAUAGAUAACAUUGGCAAUGAUGGAUUGCAUGUCUAUUCCUUAGGAAAAUCCUUAGGAAUGAAUGAGUAAAUGAUAGAUUAUUCUUAGGGUAAAUCCUUAAGAAAUAAAGAAGAUAAUGGGGAUGGGUAAUUGGGUGAAUUGUUUGAUGAUGAAACGUAACAACUUUAUUAUUAUGGGUUCAAAACCCUAUGUACUCACCAGCUUUCCCAACCUAACCCACUCGGUUUAUUUGUAUAAUAGGUGUCGAUACAAAGCUACAAUACACUAAGAGAUAAAAGGAGUCGUAAAUCACUAGUGUAAAUGAAUGUAAGGUCUGUGUAUGCUUAUGUUUCUGUAUUGACGAUGACAUCCCAAAGUUUUAAUAUAAACAAAAUACAUUUAUUCGGAAAUGCUUUGAUAAUAUAUUUAUCAUGUUCUCUGAGAACAAAUUCCGCAAUAUUAUUCUUAGAAAUGAAUACUCUAAUUUUCAAAUAACAAUAAAUAAAAUUUUUAAAAUGACUGUGAAUUUGGGGAUAUCACAUGUAAUGUAUUACCAUGAGCCCCCAUAAUCGACGUUGUUUGACUAAUGAUUACUCCGCUACGACGCUUCAUCAGACGUCGAAUAAUGAUUAAUAAGAAAGAUAUCCUAUCGGGAUUGUAGCUAGCAAUCGUAGGUCGGAGUGUCAAUCCCCGUAGGUCGGAGUGUCAAUCCCCGUAUAAAUCUAUACAUAUCUUUCUAGCUCUCGCAAAAUUAACGAUUACAGGUAUCAGGUAGCCGACUGUAAUCAGGCUAAGGAUGAAUAUUAACAACUCACUAAUGCAUUAACCUUAUGUAUUUAUCUUUUAUCGUUUAUCUAUUAUCUUUCUUAGGGAUUUCCUAUAAAUAUCAUAGUAUAAGCCCCUUUAAUUUUAUAUUUGAUGAUUAUAUCUUUUAGAUCUCAUAAUUAUUUUGUGUAUAUAUAUAUAUAUAUAUAUAUAUAUAUAUAUAUUUGUGAUACAUUUAUAGAAACUNAUAAACCCUAAUUAUAGUUAUUUGAAAACAUGAUAUUUGGGCAGAGUAACAAUUAGCUACAGUGCAUAUCCAUAUAUUUGACCAACAUAACUUCUAGAUACUAUGUUAUCCUAGGGAUUUGGCCAUUAUAACAUCUAGGUAUUAAUAUCAUAGCUUACAACUAUACAUAGUAUCUAUAGGUACAUUAUCCUAAGGUUUCUAGCUUUAUAAAACGAUUGAUAUUUAUGGAUAUAAAUAUAUUUUGAUAAAACAAUUUCAUAAGCAUGUAUCCGCCCCCCAAAAAAAAUUAAAAUAGUGCAAUAGGGGUCAUGAACUUACCGUAGUCACGUAAGACUAUUGAUGUAGGGUUAAAUCAGGCUCGACUCCGGGGACCGCUCUAAGGGCAGCAACUUCGAUAUUUUCAGAGUGAAUGAUGAUUGAAGUUGUGAAGAAGUGAUCUACAUAGCCUUCUAUUUAUAGUCAUGAAUUUGGGGUGCGUGCGCCGCAAAUAUUUGUGCGCGUCACGCGUGAUCAUCAUGGCUCCAUCCAGAGAAAGCCACGUGGCACAUCCCAAAUUGGCCAUGUUACUCGCAAUCCGAUCGAAUCCAAUGUCUGGCGCGCGAUGGACAUAGAAUCACACCUCACACGCACGAAAAGAUUUUUCAAAAAUCAUAACUUCUUCUUGCGAGCUCCGAUCUAAGCCAUCUCUAUAUCUAUGUGAUGAUCUCAACGGGUACUACAACUCUCCUUUAGGUUAUUUUGGCUAGUUUUGACUUUCAUUUUUGUAAGUCCCUAAUCUGCCUGUGUAUCAAUCAGAUCCGUUUGAUGGUGCGAAAUCCCAAUCAAACGGAUGAUGUAAGAUCAAAAAUAAAAGAGAAGGAGAAG
rnacentral:lncRNA from 1 species